UAAAAGUCUCUUAAUAGUGUUGCCAAACAGCUAUUUGUCAGAUGAGCUUUGUGCCAUUUCCUCAUUAGAAGUAUAUCAUUCGAUCCAUUGGGGAUCUGUGAACCAUGUACCUGUUUAUGUAACUUUUUUUUUUUUCGAAAGAGCGCAGGAGGACUGCGCACCCAUAUAUUAAAGUAGAGGGAAAAUAAAGGGCCAUAAUGAUGAUAUCCAUCUAUCUAUCUAUGUAACUGGUUUAUGUACCAUGUACCUGUUUAUGUAACUGGUUACCAGUGUUAUCCAUCUAUCUAUCUAUCUGUGAAGACUUGAGUCUUCUAAAUUAUGAUAUCUGUCUGUGUGAUAUCUGAGGCUGUGUUUCGUUUUACAGGCU
rnacentral:lncRNA from 1 species